rnacentral:rRNA from 1 species
UGCAGUCGAUUCAAGUUACCUUCGGGUAAUGAGGAUGGCGGACGGGUGAGUAACGCGUAAGGAACUUGCCUCUUGGACUGGGACAACUGUUGGAAACGACAGCUAAUACCGGAUAUUAUGAGAUUCUCGCAUGAGAAAUUUAUGAAAGCUAUAUGCGCCAAGAGAGAGCCUUGCGUUCCAUUAGCUAGUUGGUGGGGUAACGGCCCACCAAGGCGACGAUGGAUAGCCGGCCUGAGAGGGUGAACGGCCACAAGGGGACUGAGACACGGCCCUUACUCCUACGGGAGGCAGCAGUGGGGAAUAUUGGACAAUGGGCCACAAGCCUGAUCCAGCAAUUCUGUGUGCACGAUGAAGGUCUUCGGAUUGUAAAGUGCUUUCAGUUGGGAAGAAGAAAGUGACGGUACCAACAGAAGAAGCGACGGCUAAAUACGUGCCAGCAGCCGCGGUAAUACGUAUGUCGCAAGCGUUAUCCGGAUUUAUUGGGCGUAAAGCGCGUCUAGGCGGAAAAAUAAGUCUGAUGUUAAAAUGCGGGGCUCAACUCCGUAUUGCGUUGGAAACUGUUUUUCUAGAGUACUGGAGAGGUGGGCGGAACUACAAGUGUAGAGGUGAAAUUCGUAGAUAUUUGUAGGAAUGCCGAUGGAGAAGUCAGCUCACUGGACAGAUACUGAUGCUGA